GACGAACGCUGGCGGCGUGCUUAACACAUGCAAGUCGAACGGAAAGGCCCUGCUUUUGUGGGGUGCUCGAGUGGCGAACGGGUGAGUAACACGUGAGUAACCUGCCCUUGACUUUGGGAUAACUUCAGGAAACUGGGGCUAAUACCGGAUAGGAGCUCCUGCUGCAUGGUGGGGGUUGGAAAGUUUCGGCGGUUGGGGAUGGACUCGCGGCUUAUCAGCUUGUUGGUGGGGUAGUGGCUUACCAAGCCUUUGACGGGUAGCCGGCCUGAGAGGGUGACCGGCCACAUUGGGACUGAGAUACGGCGCAGACUCGUACGGGGGGCAGCAGGGGGGAACAUUGCACAAUGGGCGGAAGCCUGAUGCGGCAACGCCGCGGGCGGGAAGACGGCCUUCGGGUUAUGAACCGCUUUCGCCUGUGACGAAGCGGGAGUGACGGUAAUGGGUGAAGAAGCACCGGCUAACUACGUG
rnacentral:rRNA from 1 species